UCUUAUUCGUAUCCCUCUUCUCCCCUCACCAAACCCGUCGAAACCCUAAACCUCACCCUAACCCUAACACGAACCAAACCUGAUGCUACUCCACCGCACCUUCCCCCGCGUCGACCUCACACGAGCGCCCCCACCCUCAACCCCUUCUCUCCCUCACCUCCUCCUCUCCGAGCUCGAGCUCUCCCCCUCUCCUUCACCUCUACUCAUCCUCUCCUCCCUCAUCCUCCACGUUCUCUCCAAGCUCCGAACCCAUCCCCAAAUCGCCUUCGUUAUCGCCCCUGACCUUCUCGGCCCCGCGAGGAGGAUCCUCGACCCGGCGAUCCGAUCCGUGCCCUCGGCAGUGCGGCUUCUCGAUUCGGUGCUUCGAACCAUUGCAUGUUGGUGAAGAAAUGUAGAUUCUGUUCCAAAUAUGCCCAAGUCAGAAAUUCAGAAAUUGGAUCUUUCUCAUGUUGAUUCAAUCUCCUCGAUCCGCAUCCUCCAAUCGGAGGCGAUGAAGAAGAAGAAGAAGAAGACGAAGAAGAAGAAGAUGAUGAUGAUAAUGACGACGGUUGGUGGGAUGAGGUGGAUUAGUUUCUAUUGCUCAGCGCUGUUUCCGUUCCCACUGAUGUACCUCGCCUGAAAAGUGGCUUGAAGUUAGAAGGGAGCUACAAGUAUAACUGUGGCAAGUAAAUCUCUAUGGCGAGUAUAUAAAGGUCUUGCCCUCCUCUUCUUCGAUAUCGACUGCCCUGCUUCUCCCCUGCCCGGGUGCGUCUAGUCCCCCCCCCACCCCCACUGUCUCUGUUCGCUUCUUCCUUCCUUUUUUAUUUUUUUACCCCUUUCUAACCCACCUGCCUCGCUUUUUUUGUUUUCCCUUUUUUUUUUUUUUUUUUUCUUGCUUUGGAUGAGGAACAAAAAUAGAAAAAAGGAUUUGUGUAGCAUUUCGGUACCGAGCAAGGCUGCGUUGCUGUGCCAGAGGAAGGAUAGCUAAAGUGAUUCGGUAUACCCGAAAUACACCUUUGGUACAAAAUUGACGAUCUCACAAAGAUGCAAUAUCAGUAGUUUUCUAUUUACUGAUCCCAUCUUUCACGGAAUCGAUUCCCCUUUUUGAAUGUACAAAAAUUUGUGGAGCUCAGCAUGUCUGGAAGCACGGGAGAACGUUCUUUUGCUGAUAUUAUUACCAGUAUUCGAUACUGGGUUAUUCAUAGCAUUACUAUACCUUCCCUAUUCAUUGCGGGUUGGUUAUUCGUCAGUACGGGUUUAGCUUACGACGUGUUUGGAAGUCCUCGGCCAAAUGAGUAUUUCACGGAAAGCCGACAGGGGAUUCCAUUGAUAACCGGCCGUUUUGAUUCUUUGGAACAACUCGAUGAAUUUAGUAGAUCCUUUUAGGAGGCCCUCAAUGACCAUAGAUCGAACCUAUCCAAUUUUUACAGUGCGCUGGUUGGCUGUU